GGAGGGAUGGCUCAGUGGAAAGAGCCUGGGCUUUGGAGUCAGAGAUCGUGGGUUCGAAUCCCGGCUCUGCCA
rnacentral:tRNA from 1 species